AAACUACUCCCUCCGUCCGGAAUUACUUGUCGCAGAAAUGGAUAAAAAUGAACGUAUCUAGAACUAAAAUACGUCUAGAUACAUCUAUUUCCGCGACAAAUAAUUCCGGAUGGAGGGAGUACUUU
rfam:Triticum aestivum genome assembly, contig: Triticum_aestivum_CS42_TGACv1_scaffold_320470_4BL